GUGAGUCAUCGAAUCUUUGAACGCACCUUGCACCCUUUGGUAUUCCGAAGGGUACACCCGUUUGAGUGUCAUUGUAAUCUCACUACAACCGUCUUUUUGUUGUGUUGUAUGUGGACUUGGAUGUUGCUGUGUAACAAACGGCUCAUCUGAAAUGCCUGAGUGUACCCUGCUUUGCCGGUCGUAUUCGGUGUGAUAAAUCUUCACCGGAGUUUGACUUCUCGGGUCGCGUCCGCUUGACAUGGCUCUAUGGCCUUCCAACCGUCCUGACAAGACAUCUUUGACAAUUUGACCUCAAAUCGGGUGGGACUACCCGCUGAACUUAAGCAUAUCAAUAAGCGGAGG
rnacentral:rRNA from 1 species